CAGCAGCCGCGGUAAUACGAAGGGGGCUAGCGUUGUUCGGAUUUACUGGGCGUAAAGCGCACGUAGGCGGACUUUUAAGUCAGGGGUGAAAUCCCGGGGCUCAACCCCGGAACUGCCUUUGAUACUGGAAGUCUUGAGUAUGGUAGAGGUGAGUGGAAUUCCGAGUGUAGAGGUGAAAUUCGUAGAUAUUCGGAGGAACACCAGUGGCGAAGGCGGCUCACUGGACCAUUACUGACGCUGAGGUGCGAAAGCGUGGGGAGCAAACAGGAUUAGAUACCCCGGUAGUCCCUGUCUCUUAUAC
rnacentral:rRNA from 1 species